rnacentral:lncRNA from 1 species
GAGAUAUUGUCAUGGUGAUCAGAUUUCAUCAAUAGGGCCGUGGGUUCCUUUGACGUGAGCUGAACACGACCGGCUUGUCUUGUUUUAUUUUCAUAUGGUGCUUCAUUUCACUUCUUCUCCAGGACAGGUCAUUAUGGGGUAUUGUGAUGUCAUUAUGGGGUAUUGUGAUGUCAUUAUGGGGUAUUGUGAUGUCAUUAUGGGGUAUUGUGAUGUCAUUAUGGGGUAUUGUGAUGUUAUUAUGGGGUAUUGUGAUGUCAUUAUGGGGUCAUUAUGGGGUAUUGUGAUGUCAUUAUGGGGUAAUGUGAUGUCAUUAUGGGGUAUUGUGAUGUCAUUAUGGGGUAAUGUGAUGUCAUUAUGGGGUAUUGUGAUGUCAUUAUGGGGUAAUGUGAUGUCAUUAUGGGGUAUUGUGAUGUCAUUAUGGGGUAAUGUGAUGUCAUUAUGGGGUAUUGUGAUGUCAUUAUGGGGUAAUGUGAUGUCAUUAUGGGGUAUUGUGAUGUCAUUAUGGGGUAUUGUGAUGUCAUUAUGGGGUAUUGUGAUGUCAUUAUGGGGUAAUGUGAUGUCAUUAUGGGGUAUUGUGAUGUCAUUAUGGGGUAAUGUGAUGUCAUUAUGGGGUAUUGUGAUGUCAUUAUGGGGUAUUGUGAUGUCAUUAUGGGGUAAUGUGAUGUCAUUAUGGGGUAUUGUGAUGUCAUUAUGGGGUAAUGUGAUGUCAUUAUGGGGUAUUGUGAUGUCAUUAUGGGGUAUUGUGAUGUCAUUAUGGGGUAUUGUGACCCCAUAAUGACAUCACAAUACCCCAUAAUGACAUCACAAUACCCCAUAAUGACAUCACAAUACCCCAUAAUGACAUCACAAUACCCCAUAAUGACAUCACAUUACCCCAUAAUGACAUCACAAUACCCCAUAAUGACAUCACAAUACCCCAUAAUGACAUCACAAUACCCCAUAAUGACAUCACAAUACCCCAUAAUGACAUCACAUUACCCCAUAAUGACAUCACAUUACCCCAUAAUGACAUCACAAUACCCCAUAAUGACAUCACAAUACCCCAUAAUGACAUCACAUUACCCCAUAAUGACAUCACAAUACCCCAUAAUGACAUCACAAUACCCCAUAAUGACAUCACAAUACCCCAUAAUGACAUCACAAUACCCCAUAAUGACAUCACAAUACCCCAUAAUGACAUAGCAAAACUGUUUUUUUUAAAAUGUUUGCACAUUUAUAACAAAUAAAAAAAGAAAUCCCUUAUUUCAGUAAGUAUUCAGACCCUUUGCUAUGAGACUUGAAAAUGAGCUCAGGUGCAUUUGGAAAGCCACACACCUGUCUAUAUAAGGUCCCAUAGUUGACAGUGCAUAUCAGAGCAAAAAACAGAUUGAAGGAAUUGUCCGUAGAGAUCUGAGACCGGAUUGUGUUGAGGCACGUGUCUGGGGGAGGGUACCAAAAAAUGUCUGCAGCAUUGAAGGUCCCCAAGAACACAAUGG